CUGUGCAAAGGUAGCAUAAUCAUUAGUUUUUUAAUUGAAAGCUGGAAUGAAUGGUUUAAUAAGAAAAAUUCUGUCUCAUUUUUAAGUUUAAAAUUUUAUUUUUAAGUUAAAAAGCUUAAAUUUAUUAAAAAGACGAGAAGACCCUUUAGAGUUUUAUAAGAAAAAAUUGAUUAUUAUUAGGAUUAUAAAUUUAAAAUUGGUUUUUAUUAUUUUAUUGGGGUGAUAUAAAAAUUUAAGUAACUUUUUAUUUAUUUAAUCAUUAAUUUAUGUGUAAAUGAUCCUGAUUUUUGGAUUAUAAGAAUAAUUACCUUAGGGAUAACAGCGUAAUUUUUUUUGAGAGUUCUUAUCGAAAAAGAAGUUUGCGACCUCGAUGUUGGAUUAAAAUUUAGUUUUGGCGUAGAAGUUAAAAAUUUAGGUCUGUUCGACCUUUAAAAUU
rnacentral:rRNA from 1 species